ACACCAGCUAUCUCCUGCUCCCUGUCCUGCACUGCAAAGGAGGCCUUUUCAUCCUCUCUACUGCCUCCAAUUUUUCUCACGAGGAAUGUGAGAGGAAAACCUCACAUAUCCUUCCUGCCAUCACGUGAAGAAGGACACGUUUCGUUCCCCUCCUUCCAUGAUUGUAAGUUUCCUGAGGCCUUCCCAGCCAUGCAGAACUGUGAGGUGUCAGAUCCCCGGCGAUGGAAAGCAGUCAACUCAUGGGUAGUAAAAAGAAUGUAUUGACAACACUAUAGGUUUGAAAAGGAAAGUUUUAUUAGAUGGAAAGAACAGUGCAGAAGACCGCAGCAGAGGACCUCAGCAAGAGAGAACUAAUUUGUCAGUUUCAAAUACUCAUGUAUCUGAUUGUCAAUGCUGGAGAGCUGGGGCCAGGGCAGUAGUUGAUGAAUAUCACCUGACUGUCUCCUGCAGAAAAAGCAUUCCCAGAAGCACGGAGAAGUGAGGAGAAAAGGCAAUGCACCUGGAGCUGGAGACCAAGGCCCUGUUCUUACUGAUGGCCCUUGGAGCAGAUAUUUGAAUUGGAGAGAUAAAACCGUGGUUUUUGGGGUGUUAAUUUUGGUGGCUGAUGCAUUCUGUGAUUGAUUUGGCUAUUACAACUGGUAUUGAUUUUAAACACAUUAAUUGCAAAAUCUCAAUUGUGAUUUGAUUUCUGUAUUUACAAUACUAAAAACGAGGCUUUCGCCAGGAGAAGACAAUUGGCAGUACUCAGUUGGAAGUGCUUAAUUGUUAAUAUAUAUCAGCCGUGGUUCUUCAGCGUCGUCAGUGUUGCUCAGUCUUGCUCUUUGUGGCGACUACUGAAUGCUUGAAAAAUUCUCUCCUAUACUCCCACUCUGCACUGUAGAAGAGAAAGAGAGGAGAGUGGAAGAAAAAAGAGAGGGAGAGGAGAAAGAAAGAGAGGAGAGAGAAACAUGGGCAUGGAUGAUACAUAAGGUAGUUGUAAACUGUGAUCAGCUUUGAUAAUAACUAGAUAAAUUCUUUUAAUACAAAAAUAUAUAAGGCAUUUUGCCUUUUUUUCAAAUUUCAAAUAAAUGGAUUUGUAUAGAAUGUAGUCUGUUGCCCAGAGUUUUCAUUUAGCAUAAUGCAUUUGAGAUUUAUCCAUGUUGUUGUAUAUUCUUUUUAUUGCUGAGUAGUAUUCCAUUGUGUGGAUAUACCAGUUUGUUUAUCCAUUAACCUUUGAUGGAUAUUUGGGUUUUUUUCAAUAUGAGGCUCUUAUAAAUAAACCUUCUGUAAUCAGG
rnacentral:lncRNA from 1 species